ACAAGAAUAAACGUGGCGCAGAAGCUGUAAUCAGGCCCAUCCCAAUUAUAUUAAUUGAUAAGAGGUCUACUGCACAACCAAAGGCGAAGGGCUGCAAUUGCCUAAGCAGUACAGCACCAGGGCGGUCCGAGUGGACACGUACUGCAGCUGUUGGAUGGGCCUCCAACCGACUUGAACGCCCGAUUUUUUGAACAUAGAUCUGAGAACUGCAUUAGAUCUUCCGCUGAUACACCUACCGCUACAGAUAAUGUGGGCUCUGCUUCGAUCACUUUCUUUUCGAGUCGUACAACCGCCUUGUUCAUACUCCGAUCUCCUCCAUUCAUCUUGUAAGUGAUAUGGGAUAUUUUCGUCCUUCACAAUGACCCUUUCCUACCCCCUCACUCUCUCACUCUUACCAAACACCGGUUGUCAUUCACGGCUCCCAAACUUCCACAACGAGUGGUGUUCUUUCUUCUUUUUAUUCGUUAUGGCAUGAUCCACCACUGCAGCUAACUGACAGACACAUUAACCCACCAACCCACUCUAGCAUGGCUUCAGCUCAGUAUCGUUCACCGUUCUCUUGAAUUUUGCAACCACACCAC
rnacentral:lncRNA from 1 species